rnacentral:rRNA from 1 species
UACGAAGGGGGCUAGCGUUGCUCGGAAUUACUGGGCGUAAAGCGCACGUAGGCGGAUUGUUAAGUCGGGGGUGAAAUCCUGGAGCUCAACUCCAGAACUGCCUUCGAUACUGGCGACCUCGAGUCCGGGAGAGGGUGAGUGGAACUGCGAGUGUAGAGGUGAAAUUCGUAGAUAUUCGCAAGAACACCAGUGGCGAAGGCGGCUCACUGGCCCGGUACUGACGCUGAGGUGCGAAAGCGUGGGGAG